AGGCCACUGCUAUCGGAGUUCGAUUAAGCCAUGCGAGUCGAGAGGUGCAAGACCUCGGCAUACUGCUCAGUAACACGUGGACAAUCUAACCUAAGGAGGGGGAUAACCCCGGGAAACUGGGGAUAAUACCCCAUAGACUAUGGAUGCUGGAAUGCUUUGUAGUUGAAAGGUCCGCCGCCUUAGGAUGGGUCUGCGGCCGAUUAGGUUGUUGUUGGGGUAACGGCCCAACAAGCCUGUAAUCGGUACGGGUUGUGGGAGCAAGAGCCCGGAGAUGGAUUCUGAGACACGAAUCCAGGCCCUACGGGGCGCAGCAGGCGCGAAAACUUUACAAUGCGGGAAACCGUGAUAAGGGAACUCCGAGUGCCCGUAAAAUCGGGCUGUCCAUCUGUUUAAAUCACAGGUGAAGAAAGGGCCGGGCAAGACCGGUGCCAGCCGCCGCGGUAAUACCGGCGGCUCGAGUGGUGGCCACUAUUACUGGGCUUAAAGCGUUCGUAGCUGGUUUGUUAAGUCUCUGGGGAAAUCUUCCGGCUUAACCGGAAGGCGUCCCAGGGAUACUGGCAGACUAGGGACCGGGAGAGGUGAGGGGUACUCCAGGGGUAGGAGUGAAAUCCUGUAAUCCUUGGGGGACCACCUGUGGCGAAGGCGCCUCACCAGAACGGCUCCGACAGUGAGGGACGAAAGCUGGGGGAGCAAGCCGGAUUAGAUACCCGGGUAGUCCCAGCCGUAAACGAUGUGCGUUAGGUGUAUCGGUGACCACGAGUCACCGAGGUGCCGAAGAGAAAUCGUGAAACGUACCGCCUGGGAAGUACGGUCGCAAGGCUGAAACUUAA
rnacentral:rRNA from 1 species